ensembl:lncRNA
CUGACAGUUUCAAACUGCAGUGAGGAAAUAAGGACGGCCCUGUGCAUUGGCCCAGAGCUUGAGCAACCUGCUGCCUGAUUGGCCCGAGGGCCAGGGGCGGGGCUCCGGAUGGUGGCGACCUGGAGAAGCCGGAAUUAAGUUACUCUGGGAGAGCCCCGCCCCCAGCUCGCGCCGGAUUUGAGGGGGCGGGGUCUUAGGGAGCCCCGCCCAGCGUUUGCGAGGCGGUGCUCAGUUCGAUUCUGAGGUGGCUUAGGAGGCAGAUUUUGUUAACGCCUGCGGAGCAGGGCUGAAGUCAGCUAGGGCGGAUCAAGAUGGUAAUGGGAGUGCCUCAAUCUGGAGAGCAAGUAAUGAGACCCUCGGCCAAGGAAUUCACAAUAACUGUCCAAGAGGGAUGCAUUUAGUCCUUUGCUGAGAUGUUGACAUGAAACUUAUCCUUUGGCUCCUUAUCCUGUGUUGGAACCAUCACAGCAAUAGUCCCCUGAUCCUAAACAAUGGUCUCCCAGUUUAUUAAAGUUUGCAAAAGAGUGACUGCUGGAGAGAAGCAGAUCCUGAGACAGUGAUUCAAAUGAGAAUACAGACAUUCCUCUGUAUCCAUGGCUUCUGCAUCCUCUGAUUCAAUCAACCUAGGAUUCGAUGAGCAUGUAGAUCUGAC